GGAGGGAGGGAGCGUUCUGAGGUGGCCGAGGGAGGAGGACUCCACCCUUGAGACCGCGCCUGUCAGGGUAGCGCACGUGCAGGUGACUAGAGACCUGAAGAAUGACAGCAUGUAGGAAGAGGAAGAAGAAGAAGAAGACGGAAAGUGAGCGCCGAUUCUUUGGUACCCACCUUGAUGCUUGCCUGGUAUUCUCGCACCCUCUUACGGGCCAAAACCUGGAUGUGACUUGAUACCUACAGGGGGCAGUAAACGCAGCUCAGGCCAGAUGAGGCCUGAGGCAGAUGACCAUGGAUGAAUCUGCAGCUGGAGCUGCUGAUCACCUACAGUAAAGGAGCUAUGGUCAAUGGUAUCAUCAUCCGUGUUUCUGGGAAGCGGUCCAACAACUUAGGAGACUUCUGAUGAAUCACGCUGCUUUGUUUAGUAACCAGAACAAAGACUUCCCCCAAAUCACAGAGAGGGGUGACUCAAACAGCUCUGCCCCAAUUCCCAAAACAGGACAGAGGACCUGUUCCAGUUCCCCCCACCACUCCAAAAAUGGCUUAAUGCACAUUAUCCUUCAGGGAUCACCAGAGAAUAGGCUUUCACUCAUUCACACAGAUGGUUUGGCAGAGAUUUUUUACGCUGGAUGCCAUUACUGACAACACUGUAUUUUAUCCGGGCUAGGAACCGGCACAGGGGACCCAGAUGCGUACGCGAAGGGUCUUGCCCACACUGGAUGAAGUCAUUUUGGGUUAGGGUUAGCCCUGGGAAUCGAACCCUGUGUCAGUCUUAUGCUCAACCAACUAAACUAUCCAGCUGCAAAAGAAAAGCUUAAUGCUGAUUAUAUGAGAAAAUAACUAUUGUGCUACUGAAUAGACGUGGACACAAACCUGAUGUUGGCUUACAAUUUGCACAUUUUUGUUGAAAUUUUAUCCAUUUACUAACUAAUUUAGCAUGUUAAACAUAGGGUUGAAUGAAUACAUGUGUUAGAAAAUUACGCAGGAAGGAUAAACAAAUUUCACACAGAAGAAUCUAGUUUGAAUUUAAAGUCUUCAUCGUGUGUGAAAUAAAAAGCUAAGAGUUUCCAGUUCUUCCAAUAACUGAAAUCCCACGGUUUUUUAAUAAUUAUUAAAAAAUGCUGUGAGGAAUCAGUGUUAGUCAUGACAAACACAUUAUUUGUAUGACCAAUUUAUUUUUCCCCCCUAUAAUUUAAAAUAAAACAACACCACUCUGACAUUCCCACUUAAAAAAAGAUAGGAUUGCAGCUGCGAUGUUUAAAUAACUCUUAGUCCCCCAACAUAAUGUUAAAUGUGUUUAUGUAUACCUUUGUUUAUAAAAAGGUAAAUGUGGGGCAUCAAUCCUAACUAAGCUUACAUUCUCACAAAAAAAAAAAAAAAAAAAAAAAAAA